rnacentral:rRNA from 1 species
CCUACGGGGGGCAGCAGUAGGGAAUAUUGCUCAAUGGGGGAAACCCUGAAGCAGCAACGCCGCGUGGAGGAUGAAGGUUUUCGGAUUGUAAAAUCCUUUUGUUAGAGAAGAAAAUGACGGUUUCUAACUAAUAAGCACCGGAUAACUCCGUGCCAGCAGCCGAGGUAAUACGGAGGGCGAAAGCGUUACUGGGUAUGAAUGGGGGUAAAGAGCGCGGAGGCGGGAUAGCAAGUCAGAUGUGAAAGCCUAUGGCUUAACCAGAGAACGGCAUUGGAAACUGGUAUUCUAGAGUGUGGGAGAGGUAGGUGGAAUUCUAGGUGUAGGGGUAAAAUGCGUAGAGAUCAAGAGGAAUACUCAUGGCGAAGGCGACCCUCUGGAACGUAACUGACGCUGAGGCGCGAAAGCGUGGGGAGCAAACAGGAUUAGAUACCCUUGUAGUC